rnacentral:rRNA from 1 species
UGGGGAAUUUUGGACAAUGGGCGAAAGCCUGAUCCAGCAAUGCCGCGUGUGUGAAGAAGGCCUUCGGGUUGUAAAGCACUUUUGUCCGGAAAGAAAUCCUUGGCUCUAAUACAGUCGGGGGAUGACGGUACCGGAAGAAUAAGCACCGGCUAACUACGUGCCAGCAGCCGCGGUAAUACGUAGGGUGCAAGCGUUAAUCGGAAUUACUGGGCGUAAAGCGUGCGCAGGCGGUUUGCUAAGACCGAUGUGAAAUCCCCGGGCUCAACCUGGGAACUGCAUUGGUGACUGGCAGGCUAGAGUAUGGCAGAGGGGGGUAGAAUUCCACGUGUAGCAGUGAAAUGCGUAGAGAUGUGGAGGAAUACCGAUGGCGAAGGCAGCCCCCUGGGCCAAUACUGACGCUCAUGCACGAAAGCGUGGGGAGCAGACAGGAUUAGAUACCCUGGUAGUCCACGCCCUAAACGAUGUCAACUAGUUGUUGGGGAUUCAUUCCUUAGUAACGUAGCUAACGCGUGAAGUUGACCGCCUGGGGAGUACGGUCGCAAGAUUAAAACUUAAAGGAAUUGACGGGGUCAUAGCUGUUUCCU